UAAAUUGAGAAGCUCAGUGCACACAGAACUGGCCGCAAAAUUAGUGUUCCCCUGGCCAGCGUGCUGGGUUUAUUGGUAUCACAUAAACUAGGCUAAUGUGAUGAACAAUUAAGCCCCAAGAAAUUAGGUCAUUUAUAUUGGCAAACAGGCGCAGGAGAGCUGAGCAUGUGGGUAUAUCCCUUCAAAUCUGUAUUAACAGCUAUGGAAUUAAAUGAACUAUCUGGCUUUGCCUUCAGAUGCCGUUACAAUUACAGCUUGAUUUUUGCUGUUUUUCUUGCUUGGGAGAAGAAGGAUAAAUUUUGUGAUGAACAAUAACCCCAAAGUAAGGAUCAUUUAAUACUCUAGCAUUGGAGAGAAGAAGAGCACGUGUUAAUAAAGUGGCCACGCGUAUGACUUUUUUGUGAACUUCAAUGCAAAUAUUUGUGGAACAAAGGAUCUAAUCAUUUGUUUUUUAAAGUCUUCGAACUAAAUGAAUAAUGUGGGCUUAGCUUAAUUGCUGUCUCGUUUUGAGGAGCUUCUGUUCCAUUAAUAAAUUGAUACACGUUUGGCUUG